rnacentral:lncRNA from 1 species
GAGUCGGAGCCUCGGAGGAGGGAGAGGGCGAAGAGUAGGGGGAACCAAAUCUUGAAGGGUAACAGAGAGUUCUUUCGUGGAGGAGGAAGGGGGGGCAGCAGGAGGAGGGUAGAGGUAUGUGUGCAUCCAUCUGUUCUUGCUCCUGAUUUGGCUGUUUGUUUUUUCUGUCUGUUCUUCGCUGUUGGUAGUUUGUGACCGCGAAUGGGCAUUCCUGGUCCAUGUUCGCGUGCGCCGCUGCCGAUUCUGGGAGCUCUCUGGUCGUCCGUCUCGCUGGGAUCUGCCUUUUCCCCGGUGAGAGUCGCGGACCGUUCGCGGCCUUUUCUUCUCGCGGGCCAGUUAUGGUUUCUGGAGCGUUUUCUCUGUUCUUGGCGAGGUCGACAUCGCUCUGAGAACGAUGCGCUCUUUCUCCGAGUUUGUGUUCAAGUUUUCGUCAGCCUAGAGGCUGUAGCGUUUGCUGCGGAUCUCACGACUUCUCUCUUCCUCUUCUCUAUUGGUGCAUACGAUUUCAUCCGAAAUCCAUCAGUUAGUGCCCGAGCCGUCAAUUCUUUGUGGAUUUGCUUGUUCCCCUUCAUUACAGGCUCGGAAAUGCCCCUGAACAGAUUCACAGGGGGUCCUAGAUUAGGAUUAUUUCCUAUGACUUUCCAAGAGUCAGGAGCACGAUUCCUUGAUAUCAUUGAGUUCUGGCGAGACUUUAUUUCGCUGAUGAACAUAGCAUCUGAAUCCUUAGGUGAUUGACUCUGCUCUGCUUUCUCUCGGCUGUCUGCCUGGCUCAUGACUCAGCCGGGUUUGCAAUCCUAGGAAGAACUUGCUCACGUUCCUUACAUUUAUCUAGAUUCGAGGGACGGGUUGUACUCGUUAACAAAGUUCACCUCGUUAGUCAUUAAAGCUCCGCUGUUGUGAAUGAUGCUGCCAUUGCUAUAUCUGGAAUCAUCGCUCUAAUCGAUUUGAUUGUUAAUCCACUUACAGGUAGCUUAAUAGAUCUACUGUUGUCGGGGGAGUUAAUGCAAAGCUGAGUUGCUGCACGUUGGCUUUCUUCAGAGAUGGCUUCAGCUGGUGUAGCCCCAUCUGGGUACAAAAACAGCAGCAGCA